GAUGCUAUCUUGAAGAUACAUCAAGACUCAGUGGCCUUUAUAGUGCGACGCGACUAAGAAAUUAUAAAGCCAAAAGCGGUUCUGUAACCGACGUAAGCCUUAAACUGAGAACAAAAAAGGGUGUCACAAGAGAUCGCCAGUUUGGUGCGGAGUAACAGUCAAACUAAAAAGAAGAAAGUGGAAAGUGGAAAAGGCGCGAGAGAAACGCGCUGUGAUAGUGUCGGUAAAGAAUACGACCGAAUGAAUAAACGACACGCGUAAAGAGAGCGUGAAUGGUUGUCUUAGUGGGGCCUCGAAUUGUCCGUUUUUAAAAUGAGAAGGGAGGUCGGCGUAGGGUUGGGGCCCAGAGAGGAGCCUAAGUGGGACCACGCGGGAGUUGCGUAAUCCAGCAGAUGGACGCUUCGAGAUUUGCGACUAUUGGUGGGCCGUGGGCUUGGUUGAUAUUAAAGAGACGUCAUUUGCAUCAGGAGUCUGUGGGUGGACAGAUGGUCGGUUUGGUGCUGCUAAAUUCCCUUACCCAAUGCCGCUUUUGGUGGACGGCCACUUGUACUCGCUUGUUUGCACGUGACAUCACACGUGACAUGUUCUAAUUGUCUGCAAUUAAUAAUUUUAUGCUACAUUUGAGAUACGCA